rnacentral:rRNA from 1 species
GACGAACGCUGGCGGCGUGCUUAACACAUGCAAGUCGAACGGAAAGGCCCUUCGGGGUACUCGAGUGGCGAACGGGUGAGUAACACGUGGGUGAUCUGCCCUGCACUUUGGGAUAAGCCUGGGAAACUGGGUCUAAUACCGAAUAGGACCACGCGCUUCAUGGUGUGUGGUGGAAAGCUUUUGCGGUGUGGGAUGGGCCCGCGGCCUAUCAGCUUGUUGGUGGGGUAAUGGCCUACCAAGGCGACGACGGGUAGCCGGCCUGAGAGGGUGACCGGCCACAAUGGGACUGAGAUACGGCCCAGAAUCCUACGGGAGGCAGCAGUGGGGAAUAUUGCACAAUGGGCGCAAGCCUGAUGCAGCGACGCCGCGUGAGGGAUGACGGCCUUCGGGUUGUAAACCUCUUUCAAUAGGGACGAAGCGCAAGUGACGGUACCUAUAGAAGAAGCACCGGCCAACUACGUG